rnacentral:misc_RNA from 1 species
GAAAUGCGAUAAGUAAUGUGAAUUGCAGAAUUCAGUGAAUCAUCGAAUCUUUGAACGCACAUUGCGCCCGCCAGCACUCUGGCGGGCAUGCCUGUUCGAGCGUCAUUUCAACCCUCAGAACCCCUUGCGGGAUCUGGCGUUGGGGAUUGGCAUCCAGCCAGCCCCGAAAUCUAGUGGCGGUCCCUCCGCGACCUCCCCUGUGCAGUAGCGAUACCUCAGCGGGACAGCGGUCUGACCACGCCGUAAAACCCCCAACUUCUCAAGGUUGACCUCGAAUCAGGUAGGAAUACCCGCUGAACUUAAGC